rnacentral:rRNA from 1 species
UACGUAGGGGGCAAGCGUUGUCCGGAUUUAUUGGGCGUAAAGAGCGUGUAGGCGGCUAGGUAGGUCCGUUGUGAAAACUCGAGGCUCAACCUCGAGACGCCGGUGGAAACCAUCUAGCUAGAGUCCGGAAGAGGAGAGUGGAAUUCCUGGUGUAGCGGUGAAAUGCGCAGAUAUCAGGAAGAACACCCGUGGCGAAGGCGGCUCUCUGGGACGGUACUGACGCUGAGACGCGAAAGCGUGGGGGAGCGAACAGG